UAUCAGCUGGCUGGAUCUAAGUGGUCUUUACCCUGAAAAUCUUCCCCUACUAGAUCCUCUGCUGCUCGGUUCCCCAAAACUUUUUCUCUUCCCCAAACUACCACUUGAACUCUGACUCACAAACUUUCCACUCUUUUCUUUCUCCCUGCCUCCCUUAUCAGCUGCCCUUUCUAUUUCUAUCCUUUCCAAUUCUAAGGCUUG
rnacentral:misc_RNA from 1 species